rnacentral:rRNA from 1 species
CCUACGGGGGGCAGCAGUAGGGAAUCUUCCACAAUGGGCGCAAGCCUGAUGGAGCAACACCGCGUGAGUGAAGAAGGGUUUCGGCUCGUAAAGCUCUGUUGUUGGAGAAGAACGUGCGUGAGAGUAACUGUUCACGCAGUGACGGUAUCCAACCAGAAAGUCACGGCUAACUACGUGCCAGCAGCCGCGGUAAUACGUAGGUGGCAAGCGUUAUCCGGAUUUAUUGGGCGUAAAGAGAGCGCAGGCGGUUGCUUAGGUCUGAUGUGAAAGCCUUCGGCUUAACCGACGAAGUGCAUCGGAAACCGGGCAACUUGAGUGCAGAAGAGGACAGGUGAACUCCAUGUGUAGCGGUGGAAUGCGUAGAUAUAUGGAAGAACACCAGUGGCGAAGGCGGCUGUCUGGUCUGCAACUGACGAUGAGGCUCGAAAGCAUGGGUAGCGAACAGGAUUAGAUACCCGAGUAGUC